ensembl:snRNA U6 U6 spliceosomal RNA
GUGCUUUCGUCAGCAAUACAUGUACUAAAAUCAGAAUGAGGCAGAGAAGAUCAGCCUGGCCCCUGCAGAAGGACGACAUGCAAAUUCGUGAAGCGUUCCAUAUUUUU